rnacentral:rRNA from 1 species
UACAGAGACUGCAAGCGUUAUUCGGAUUCACUGGGCGUAAAGGGUGCGCAGGUGGCCAAGUGUGUGAGGCGUGAAAGCCCGGGGCUUAACCCCGGAAUUGCACCUCAAACUACAUGGCUAGAGCAUUGGAGAGGGGAGCAGAAUUCACGGUGUAGCAGUGAAAUGCGUAGAUAUCGUGAGGAACACCAGAGGCGAAGGCGGCUACCUGGACAAUUGCUGACGCUCAGGCACGAAAGCGUGGGGAGCAAAAGGG